GAGAUCCGAAUGAGUAUGAAGUGCCUUCCUAGUGAUCUACUUCUUACUUUGAAGUGAUUCUUGAUGUAUGAUCCUUCCAAACUCAUGUAUGCAAUGUGAAAACAACACAAAAAAAUCGUAAAGGCAAAUACUAAUUACAAGAUAGAACUAUGUUAUUUUAUGAAUUUAACAAACCAUUUUAGCACCAAAUGAAAAGUCAUGUGAUAAGAGAACAAGCUAAGAGCAUCAACUAGAUGUCUAGUAUAAGUCGGUAUUCCUUUAUAUGCAAAAAGUGAAAGGCAUCAUUUUUCUAUUUAAACUAAAAUCAAAACUUCGAAAGGCUUCACAUUAAUCGUCCUUCAAUCAAUUUGAAAAAAUUAG
rnacentral:lncRNA from 1 species